UACCAGCACCCCGAGUGGUCGGGACGAUUAUUGGGCCUAAAGCAUCCGUAGCCGGCCUUACAAGUCCUCCGUUAAAUCCAGCUGCUUAACAGAUGGGCUGCGGAGGAUACUAUAAGACUAGGAGGCAGGAGAGGCAAGCGGUACUCAGUGGGUAGGGGUAAAAUCCGUUGAUCCAUUGAAGAACACCAGUGGCGAAGGCGGCUUGCCAGAAUGCGCUCGACGGUGAGGGAUGAAAGCUGGGGGAGCAAACCGG
rnacentral:rRNA from 1 species